ensembl:lncRNA
UGCUACUCGAGAGAGGCUCCUCUCUUCGUCUGCUUUCUGCUGAAGUGCAGUAGCGAAAUGUGCACGAUGGGAUAUGACCUAAUUGUUGAUUGUGGUGAGGCGCUGGUGUCCCACAGUUUGUGCUGCCACUGUUGUGGUUGAGCAAAGGAUGAUUUCCUGAUCCCAGACAUCAGUAAGGAUUCCACAACAAAGGUGAACAUUGAACUAAGAGUCAUAGAAAUGAGCUGGCUAAAUGGUGUCAACUAGUGGAACCUGAGGUCUAUCCCGACAGACCUUUCACUGUAGGGCCAUGUCGUUGGAAAUGCCUCAGAGAGUAAAUCUGUAGUUUCGCUUUACCCACAUGUUCACUGCUAUGAGCAUUGUGGGAUAUUACUGCAGAACACUAAUGUCUGAUGAAAACAUGAUUUAUUUUAAUGUAUACAAUAGCUAAUGAGGUGGUUGGGGGGGCUGGCAGGGUUCUUCCAUUAUUUAUUCCAUAAAUAAUGGAAAGACAUGGUUUCUCUGCCAUUAGAGUUCUCAACCACCCUGGAGAGAAUGGAUACUGAAUAGGCGAGAUUGUAAGCGAUAGUUAUCUUUAUAUUUUGGUGAACACACAAUUGCGUGUGCCGGUAUUGUAUUGAAUAAAGGGACACGGAGUGUGGUUGCUAAAAGCUAACAAGACAUCACAAAAUGAAGCCAAAGACGCAGAGUGAGGCAGCCUACUACAAACUGUAUGCAAAGAUGCAUACAGAGGAAACUGAUUGCAACUGACUUUAUCAUUUAAGAGUUGUAGCAGUGAGAAUUGACUUGACCAUAUCCCCAAAAAUCAAUGUGUUUCAGGCCUUUAGUGUAUGGGAGUAGUGGCGAUUUUGUAUUUAGCAGUAUUCAUGUAUUUAAAUUAGUGCCAAUACAUAGUCGAAUCCUGAGCUCAACCUCAGCUGUUAGGAUAUUAUUUUACUGUCAGUUUCUUAAAACCUUAAUGCUUUUAGUUUUACAUUCUUAGAAAAAAUUAAAACUACUGGCAUUAUUGUGUAUAUAGGGUGUUUCCCAUGACUAGACCAUAACUAGAAUGUGACUGUACAUUACACUCAUUUAAGUUACUGUAAAGUAGCUUCCAAAAUAUGGCAACAUGUACCAUAGCCACAAUAAAAAAAUUAUUUUAUUGUUGUUGAAGUUAAACUAUAAUUCCACAUGGAUAUAAUUUACCAUUUACAUUUUUGAACAAAUCGUAAAUGAUUUAUUUAUAUGGGCAAUUUGAGAAGCUUAAGUUAAUGUUUUAUUAGUAACUCCCUGAAUCUUGAUAUACUGUCCAAUCCUGUGUAUUACAUGCAUAGAUUGCUUUCUCAAACUGUGACUGAGGUGGGUAUGUCUGAAGAGACUGUGAGGAACAUUAUUGUAAUGAUGACUUAUGUCUAAAUGAUUGAAUACAAUCACUAAACAGAUUAAUGAAACCAAGUGUUGCAUAUUCCUUAUGUGAAAAAGGCUCAGAAUAUUUGUAUUUGAUCUUGCUUUAGUAACACAAUCAGCUGGCUUGGAAGGUGAGCUAUCUACAGACAGAUCAGAGCAGAAACCUUUAUCAAGAAGCCAAAUGCAGUUACAAUAUCCAGUAGCUUAGGGAGGAUGAGAACUGGAGCCUGGCUACUGCACCUCAGCUUUUUUUUUUUUUUUUUUUUUACAAAAAGCCAACAAAGACAAAAUAAAAUAAUGGAUAAAUAGGCCACUGGGUUAUUCUUGAAUAAUUUCGUAAACCUGUUUGUUUCAGAUACCUGGAAGCACUGAUGAGGAACGUCGGUAACCUUUCACUAUGCAGCAGCUUGAUACAGAUCACUGACCAGCUGCUAAGAGGGGUCCUGACUGUCGUGUCGCUGACUGACUUUGAUUUUGAUUCCAAAAUCAACUGUACUACUGCAAAUCAGACUGUUGAUGAUAACUCUGAUUUCGCCUUGUCUGUAAAAUAAAUAAAUGUCAGUACUGGUCUGCUAA